rnacentral:rRNA from 1 species
UACGAAGGGGGCUAGCGUUGCUCGGAAUCACUGGGCGUAAAGCGCACGUAGGCCGUUUGACAAGUCAGGGGUGAAAUCCGGCAGCUUAACUGUCGCAGUGCCUUUGAUACUGUCGAGCUCGAGGGAGGUAGGGGUCUGUGGAACUUCCGGUGGAGCGGUGAAAUGCGUUGAUAUCGGAAGGAACGCCGGUGGCGAAGGCGGCAUCCUGGACCGGUAUUGACGCUGAGGCGCGAAAGCUAGGGGAGCAAACGGG